rnacentral:misc_RNA from 1 species
GUCAGAUCCAAAGUCGGACUCUUUAAGCAACCCAGCACUGUCGGAUGUCUUAAGGCCAAGAAACUCAGGGGAACGAGUUGUGUGAGGAUGGCGAACCUGUUCGGGGAUGAUGGAGGCGAUGUGAGGGAAGGUUUGAAGCUUCUCAACUUCAAAAGGUGAGAGCUUUGCAGAGAAGCCAUGGAAGACAGUUUCAUAUGUAUGAAUGACGGCUGCUCCAUCAGUACCAGAAGCAUCUGGGUUUGACGUCGUUGCCUUGUUUGAAGAAAUGGAGGCUAGAGAAGACUCAUACCAGUGCUUGUGGGUCGGGAAAAUAGAAGGUUUGGCAUCUUUGUGAACCUGCACAAUGAAGGUCUUCUUUGAAACAUCGAUCGAAGAGGAGGAAGAAGAAGAAAAUGGGAUGAUGAGAGAGAAGAGAAAGAUUGCUGGAAGAAGGGCAGCCAUGAGAGAGAAGUAAAGUGAAGGGGUUUGGUAAUGGAGGAGGAGGAGGAGGAGGAG